GUUUCUUUUGUAAACAAAAGGGACAUGCGAAAAAGGAGUGCAGCCAGUUCAAGAAAUGGAUGGAUGACAAAGGAUAUUCAAAAUCUAAGGAAGCCAGUGGCAAGUGAGCAAAGCAUCUUAUCUGGAAACAAGAUGGGCUCACAUGUGGAAGCUAUUGGAACAUGCAAUUUAGUUUUAAGUAAUGGUUUUGUUUUAAAGUUAGAAAAGACCUUUUAUGUACCAAGUUUCUCUAGAAACUUGAUUUCAGUUUCAAGACUUAUACCCUUUGGUUUUUCCUUUACA